GAGGCCCGGAGCCAGGUGGAGGCGGGCCGGGAGGUGGCCGGGAGCCUGCGGCGGGAGCUGGGAAUGCUGGAGCAGCGGCUGGAGCAGCUGGGAGCCGAGGCCGGGAGCUGCCGGCGGGCGCAGGAGGAGGCCCAGCGGGAGGAGCUCCGGCUGCGGGCCCAGGCCGAGGGGCUGCGCAGGUACCGGCACUGCCCCAGCUGUCUGUCCCCGUGUGUCUGUCUGUCCCUGUGUGUCCUUGUGUCCCCGUGUCCGUGUACCCAUGUGUCCAUGUGCCUGUGGUCCUGUGUGCCUGUGUCCAUGUUUCCGUGUGCUUGUGGGUCUGUGUGUCCAUGUGUCCAUGUCUGUGUGUCCGUCUGUGUCCAUGUCUGUUUGUCCGUGUGCCCAUGUGUCUGUGUGUCUGUGUGCCCAUGUCCAUGUGUCCAUGUCUGUGUGUCUGUGUGCCCGUGUGUCCAUGUCUGUUUGUCCGUGUGCCCAUGUGUCUGUGUGUCUGUGUGUCCACGUCUGUUUGUCCGUGUGCCCAUGUCCAUGUGUCCAUGUCUGUGUGUCUGUGUGUCCAUGUGUCCAUGCCCAUGUGUCCAUGUCCGUGUGUCCAUGUCCGUGUAUCAGUGUGUCCGUGUGUCCAUGUCUGUGUGUCCGUGUGUCCGUGUGUCCAUGUCUGUGUGUCCAUGUCCGUGUAUCAGUGUGUCCGUGUGUCCACGUCUGUGUGUCCGUGCAUCCAUGUCCGUGUGUCCAUGUCCGUGUAUCAGUGUGUCCAUGUGUCCAUGCCCAUGUGUCCAUGUCCAUGUGUCCAUGUCCAUGUGUCCAUGUCCGUGUGCCCGUGUGUCCAUGUCCGUGUGUCCUUGUCCGUGUAUCAGUGUGUCCGUGUCCGUGUAUCAGUGUGUCCGUGUCUCCACGUCCGUGUGUCCGUGCGUCCAUGUCCGUGUGUCCGCAGGGAGCUGUGCCGCGCGGAGGCGGCGCUGGCGGAGGAGCAGCAGCGGGCGGGGGCCCUGCAGCAGGAGCGGGAGCAGCUGCGGCGCCGCAGCGAGGGGCUGCAGGACUCCCGGGACCAGGCUGCCCGCGACGCCCAGGCUGCCCACCAGCAGCUGGAGCACAGCCAGCAGCAGGUGCAGGAACUGGAGGCGCAGCGGGCGCGGGCGCAGCAGGAGCUGCUGGAGGCGCGGGAGGAGCUGAGCCGGGCGCUGCUGGAGGCGGAGCUGGCCCGGGGCGAGCAGGAGGCGCUGGCAGAGGCCCUGGGCAAGGUGGGCACCCGGGCCCGCCCCACGGCGGGGCCAGGCACGGAUACAGGCGCACCCCCGUGCACUUCCCCAGGAGUGCCAGCCCUGCCGUGGGUGCAGCCCCGUGCCCCAGCUGCCCCCAUGGCCUGGUUCCACAGGUGCCCCCACAUACCCCAGGUGUCCCCAAGUGCCCUUCAUGCCCCAGGUACUCCCCAAGCCUCAGGUGACCCCCAGGUGCCCCCCGAGCCUCAGGUAUUCCCCAAGCCCCAGUCGCCCCCUGUGCCCCCCAUGCCCCUGUUGUCCCAUGCCAGCUGGUACCCCCGAGCCUCAGGUGAGCCCCGGGUGUCCCCCAUGCCGCAGGUGCCCCCCGUGCCCCAGGUGCCCCCCGUGUCCCCCUGCCCCCGUCCCGCCGUGCCAGCCGGUGCCGCUCGCAGGCGCAGGGCAGCUGCGGGGAGCUGGCGGAGGCCCGGCGGGCG
rnacentral:lncRNA from 1 species